rnacentral:rRNA from 1 species
UACGUAGGGUGCGAGCGUUGUCCGGAAUUAUUGGGCGUAAAGAGCUCGUAGGCGGUCCGUCGCGUCGAAUGUGAAAACCCGGGGCUCAACUCCGGGCUUGCAUUCGAUACGGGCGGACUAGAGUUCGGUAGGGGAGACUGGAAUUCCUGGUGUAGCGGUGAAAUGCGCAGAUAUCAGGAGGAACACCGAUGGCGAAGGCAGGUCUCUGGGCAUUAACUGACGCUGAGGAGCGAAAGCAUGGGGAGCGAACAGG